UACGGAGGGGGCUAGCGUUGUUCGGAAUUACUGGGCGUAAAGCGCACGUAGGCGGCUUUGUAAGUUAGAGGUGAAAGCCCAGGGCUCAACCCUGGAAUUGCCUUUAAGACUGCAUCGCUUGAACAUCGGAGAGGUAAGUGGAAUUCCGAGUGUAGAGGUGAAAUUCGUAGAUAUUCGGAAGAACACCAGUGGCGAAGGCGGCUCUCUGGGACGGUACUGACGCUGAGACGCGAAAGCGUGGGGAGCGAACAGG
rnacentral:rRNA from 1 species